rnacentral:rRNA from 1 species
CCGGCAUAACUCCGGGAAACUGGAGAUAAUUCCGGAUAACGCACAUAUGCUGGAAUGCUUUAUGCGUAAAAUGGAUUCGUCUGCCCAAGGAUGGGUCUGCGGCCUAUCAGGUAGUAGUGGGUGUAAUGUACCUACUAGCCUACGACGGGUACGGGUUGUGAGAGCAAGAGCCCGGAGAUGGAUUCUGAGACAUGAAUCCAGGCCCUACGGGGCGCAGCAGGCGCGAAAACUUUACAAUGCGGGAAACCGUGAUAAGGGGACACCGAGUGCCAGCAUCAUAUGCUGGCUGUCCAGGUGUGUAAAAUACACCUGUUAGCAAGGGCCGGGCAAGACCGGUGCCAGCCGCCGCGGUAACACCGGCGGCCCGAGUGGUGAUCGUGAUUAUUGGGUCUAAAGGGUCCGUAGCCGGUUUGGUCAGUCCUCCGGGAAAUCUGAUAGCUCAACUAUUAGGCUUUCGGAGGAUACUGCCAGACUUGGAACCGGGAGAGGUAAGAGGUACUACAGGGGUAGGAGUGAAAUCUUGUAAUCCCUGUGAGACCACCUGUGGCGAAGGCGUCUUACCAGAACGGGUUCGACGGUGAGGGACGAAAGCUGGGGGCACGAACCGGAUUAGAUACCCGGGUAGUCCCAGCCGUAAACGAUGCUCGCUAGGUGUCAGGCAUGGCGCGACCGUGUCUGGUGCCGCAGGGAAGCCGUGAAGCGAGCCACCUGGGAAGUACGGCCGCAAGGCUGAAA